AUUUUUUUUAGUGUACAAAUUAAAUUAAAAGUUUAAUAAAAUUUAAAUUAAUAAUAAAAAACUAAUAACUAAUAGGAAUAUAUAAAAUUGAUAAAUAAUAUUUAUAUUAAAAAUAAAAUAAUUUUAUUGAGAAAUAAGUAUUAAUUUGAUCAUAAGAAAUUAAAAAUGUCAAAGAGAAAAAGAAAAGUAACAUAUUAUUUUUUUUAAAAAAAGUAAAAUAAUAAUUUUUCCUUUUUUAAUUUAGAUAACGGCUGUUGUAAGUUACAAAAUUUUCUUUACCAUGGCAAUUUUAACCGACCUCGGAUUCCCAUAUAAACACUGUUAUCUGCUUUCCAAGUUUUCUCCGGCCAAUCUUCAACUCCUCCGAGCUGUCGCAAUCAGUUAUCCAAAAUAACUCCAAAAACAUCACAUUUUCUAAAAAUGAAAUAUUUAUCUGGUUAGAACCAACAAGGAACUGGAGGGACAGAGCUUGAGUGCAGCUCUGUGGCUUGAGGGAGCUUAAAAAACCUUCUGCAUAACUUUUUAUGUUCACAUUCAGCUUAUCCAAAUGUUUCAAAUACUUCAACUGCUCUACCAAAAAUUCAUUCUUUCCAGGAGGAAUAUUAAUUCCAUUACCCCAUCCCAAGAACCUAAAGUUCCUUCUUCAGAAUCAGGAGAGAAAGAAAGGUAAGCACUCCUUCACCCUGCAUUCAGGUCCCCCAUUUUUGAAUUUGUUGAGGCUUGAGAUUUUUCAUCCCUAUAUUUAUCAAAAUGAUUGUGAACUUCUGAAUACUUGGCAAAAUUAGCUUACAUUUUGUAUGAUCCAAUAAACAAAUUAUGAAUUCACCUAAUCCAUUCAGCUAGAUUUCCAUUUCUGUGCAAAUGGAUGAAGCCAUAUCUUCCACCUUUAAUAUUGUGGCCUUGAAGGCAUGCAUGUCCAGAAAGUAUCUAAAUCCUCAAAUAAAGUUCUUUAAAGAUUUUCGGUCUUCCAAUCCUGAAAAUUUUCAAAGUACACAUACCAGCACCAAAGUCUCUCAUGACAAAGAAAAGAAAACCACCAAAAAUCUAAGCAACCAACAAUCAAACCCAAAACUCUACGUAUAAUCUGCCCCCCGCCUUGCCCAACAAUCCAGCCAUACAUAAUUAAUGAUGCAUACAUUUGUAAAUAAUACACGGUUAACGCCUUCAAGCAACUCGGUGAUUAACUCAAUAAAAUGGUCUACAUAGCGAUCAUGAACAUCUUUAUCUGCUGUUCCAGGAAAUUCUUUUGUAGAUCUGUCAAAUUAAGUUUAUAAAUAAAUUACAAUAAAUAUGUGGUCUCGAAUCUAGUUUGCAUUAUCAUAAAAAUAUCUUCUUUGUUUUUCUUUUUUUCUUCCUUAUUCUUUUUACAGGUUUACUUUAAAGGGGAAAUUUAUUAGAUGCCUUCAGUGUAAUACAUGUUUGAGGUAAGUUUUAAUUGCAAUGGUGGCUGUAAGAACAUACAACACGUGUUGUAUUAUUAUCGGUUGAGAACAUUAAAUUAUCAAUUUGACAGAUAUAACGGUUUCGUCUAAUGAUUUCCUAGCAGUAGUAGGUAAAUUAUAUCAUUCAUCCUUCAAUUUUGGAGGUAAUUAAAUGUUCGUCUCAUAGCUUUAGUUUAUUACCGUACAAUCUCUCAAUAUUAAUUUUAUUUCAAAAAAAAUUCUUUUAAUCUAUAAUAACAUAUUUUUAAAUAAAAAAUUAUAAAUUAUUUCAUUUGUCUCUCAACUUUAAAAAUUAUUUCAUGUCUAUUCCUCAACUUUAUUCUAGUACUAUAAAAUCUUUUAUUUUAAUUUUAUUUUCAAC
rnacentral:misc_RNA from 1 species